CUCAUAAUUAUUAACAAAUGAUAUGAGGGAAUUCCCUUAACAAGCAUGGCUUGGAAGAAGGUGCUCUAUGAGAAGCAGGCUUAUGCUGACAACUAUGUAGAGCCUGAGCAGUUUCUGGAUGGCCUCAGGAAGAAUUUGUACACCAAGACCUAUACCCUGGGAGAGCUCAUUCUUUCGUCAAUUGUUGUCUCCGUGCAGCUAUCGUGCGUGUGUCUGUUUGUGGGUGUGUACUGGUACAUCCAGGAGGGCUGGCUCUAUCCUCUCACACUCUUCACAAGCUCCACUGCCCUCACAGCUCUCGGGUACAUCCUCACCACCCCUCUCACCACCAUCACUGGUGCUUCAGGUGUGGUAAGGGACCAGUUUGUUCCCUCUCUCCUCUUUGUUCUUUUCCUCGCUGGAGUCUCCCCCAUCCUGAGAACACUCACUGAGUCUAUCUCUACGGACACCAUAUGGGCAAUGACAGUGGGAAUGAUGGCGACUCACCUCGUGUUCCACAACUAUGGCAGUGAAGAUGGAAGAGCGAGCAGGGCUAUCUCUCUGAAUGCUGCUAUAUUCGGGUCAGUGUGUCUGGCCUCGAGACUGCCCUCUGCCCUGGGGGCAUUUGUCGUGGUCAUGUUUGCCGUUCAACUCUUUGCAUUGGUUCCCCAAUUGAGAGCACGGGGCAGAGUCAUGACACCAUACUGCACUAUUUUCCUGUUGGGACUUUUGAUGGGGAUUUCCCUCCCUGUGAUCAUCUCAAUCUCCAUACCAGCUGCCGUGCUCUACCUAUUGUCUGUGAGCACAGUCAACAUCCUCUGCCCCCUAUGGCUGCAUCGGCUACAGCACCUCAAAAACACAAUACAUGGACCAUGGGACGAAGCGGUACUACAAACAUAGAAUAUAAUAAUAGUCAUCAACUACAAAAAUAAGAAUGGUGACUGAUAAGAAUGAUCAUCAUCUUUCAAGUUGAGUCUCAGAGCCAGUCGAUUCAAUAGAGUUUGUUGUGCAUUCAGUUUUCUCGUUAAAUCUUCGAUUUGUGUGUCUUUCUUGUUGAGUUCAGCCCCUAUCAUUCUCUUGAACUGCUCGUACUCUUCUCGCAACUCGGACUCUUGAAAAAGUUUCUGUCUGGAGAGUGCCAUCAGGAGAUCAUUUGUUGAAGACCGAGACUCUGUGUGUUUGCUGUUGUCAUUUUCACGACCUUCUUCUGAAGUGGUUAAUUUCUCGAGCAGCUGUAAAGUAUCCGUGCUUCCUUGGUUAAGAACAGGAGAGGCCGCAGCUGUAGACUGAGCAAGUAUCUUCGUCUGAGUCUCCCCUGAGGCCAAUGACUGAACACCUGUGUAUAAUAAUCACCAUCAUUAGUUUGUUUUGUUAACCUAUAGUGCAGAUAAUGUGUGGUGUCAUAUUGUGUGUGUGUGUAUAGUACCUUGAGUUGAUGUUGAAGAAUGAUUUAUGAAUGUUUCCACAAUUAUG